UACGUAGGGUGCGAGCGUUGUCCGGAAUUACUGGGCGUAAAGAGCUCGUAGGCGGUUUGUCGCGCCUGCUGUGAAAUCCCGAGGCUCAACCUCGGGCUUGCAGUGGGUACGGGCAGACUAGAGUGCGGUAGGGGAGACUGGAAUUCCUGGUGUAGCGGUGGAAUGCGCAGAUAUCGGGAGGAACACCAGUGGCGAAGGCGACUACCUGGCCUGUUCUUGACGCUGAGGCGCGAAAGCUAGGGGAGCAAACGGG
rnacentral:rRNA from 1 species